GCCUAAACCAUCUUUGACAAUUAUGUCUGAUGAAACUGCGCCGUGGAAUUGGAUUUCGUUACCUUGGGCUUGGCCUGGGAUUGAGAAAGCAUCGAUCGAUAUCAAGAAUGGACUGUACAAAAAGAUGGAGGUAGCAGUAUGUUCCUUUCUUUUCCUUUAUGGAAAUGAAGUAUGUGUGAUGCCUGGCAGAUUCGGCUCUAAAGAAGAAAGAGAAGAUCGAUAGCCAAGUGGAUCGAUGGCGUUGUCUGCAAGGGCAAGCAAGGAACCAUGGAUUGAUGCUUUGGCAAAAGGAAAGCAACGGCAAGAUGCCAAAAGCAGCUCGUAGCAUUACCACCACCACCACCCCUCCCCUCAAACAUAUGUAUGUGUCUGCUCUGUUUCUUGCAGUGCAUUCUGUUCCAGAGCUCUACAAUAUGGCAAGAUGAAAAAUUCUCUUUUCUAAACCAAGAUGAUCGAGUGAUCACAUAUCUUCACCUCGCCCGGGACUGGGUUUCUUGGAGAUAACUCUUAUUUCCUCCGCAAGUGUUCUUCGCUCCUCCUCCACUCGACGUUCUUAGUGGGGACGGAGAAAUCUGCAUCGGAUGGAUUAGAUAUGUUUAUCCUGGUUUUCUUCUGCUGAAAUUUGUUUUCUGUCGACAAGUUCAACAUGUUGAGGAGAGCCCCACGCACCCACUUCCCGGUUGUGAAGGACUUUGAUGACGCCAUCAAACAUUUGGUUGAUCUUUUGCGUACAAGCAACGACCGUUCUACAGAAGGCAAACUCGAAGUAUUCGUCUGUUAUGGCUGGUUUGAGGGCGUGGGAGCAUCUGCUGUCCUUAGAGCUACAUCCAAACUCCUAAACUCUACAACAUGUGAUGAUUUCAACACGAGAAAGCAUUUUGACAGAGUCGUCUACGUGGACUGCUCAAAUUGUAUAAACAGAAGGGCCAUGCAGAGGGCAAUCGCAAAGGAGUUGAACCUUCACCAUGCAAUGCCCAUAUUUGAUAAGCAAGAUGAAGAUGAUGAUUUCAGAGGGGUACACAACAGCAAUAGAAAAGAGGUGCCGGGGUUCGGAAGUUUGAUUACUAAGUCACUAAGAGAUGAAAGAUUUUUGAUGAUUUUUGAUUACAAUACAGCAAGAUGCCAAAAGAAGCUCGUAGCAUUACCAUUACACCACCCAUCUUCUGCUCUGUCUCUCUCUCUUGCAGUUGCAGUGCAUUCCGUUGCAGAGCUCUUAACACAAAAUGACAGAGUGAAAUUUUGUUUUGUUUCAAGCAAGAUGAUGGAGUGAUCAGAGAUACCUUUGCCUUGGACUGGGUUUCCUGGAGAUAACCCUUAUUUUCCUCUGCAAGUGUUCUUCGUCAUGGCGGAAUGAUCUCAUGGUGAGACCUCGCUUCAUCCCGACCGCUCCAGCGAGCGGUUGGGCGAAGCCCUAGGUGCCGCCAGCCCUAGCCCUCCUCCUGCCUCUUCUUCCUCUCGCCGCCGCCUGAGGGCGCGGCCUGGCAAAUCCUGGUCCAUGUCGACGGCGGGGGGCCUCUCUUCCCUCCUGGCUUGGCGGCGCGCGGCACGGGACGCGUUGGCCGGCGGGGGUGCGGCGGCAGCGAGGCGCGCGGGCGGCGUCGGCGCGCAUGCUGGCUGCGGUGGCAACGCGGGCCUGGUGGGACGUGUCUGCGCGGGACGGCGGGGCUGGGCCUCUCGAUCCAGAUCUGGAUCAGGUCCCCUCCGGCCGGCUGCACGUGGACGGCGCAGGCCGUGGCGGCGGACGGCAGGCUGGAUGGAGGCGCGUGCGGGGGUCCCGGUGGUGGCGGAUGGCCUCGGCCAGAUCUGGCCGCUGUCGUACCUUGCGGCGAGGGCCGUGAGCGGCACCGGUUGGCCGCCUCUGCUGCGCUCUGGUGUGGUGAAGGCUUCUACAUGGUGGUAGCUCCGACGUGCUGGCUCGUGGUGGCUCGGUCUGGCGUGUUCGGGUGGCUCGCUGGAUGUGGCUGCUGCUCCGUCCAUGGAUGGCUCCUCGGCAGCUUGGCAGGUCGACUGUGGCGGCGGCAUGUUUCGGCGUCGGCUCGUCGGUAGGCGGCAUGUUUCGACCUUCGACCCCUCUCCUCAUCAUCCGGGAGCUACUUUCGUCAAAGGGCUGGCCUUCUCCCAGCUGCAGUCCAUCACUCGUCUCACACCCGGUGGCAGGACCGAGCUCGUCUCGCGCAUGGUGCAGCAGGACCGAGCUCGUCUCGCGCACGGUGCUGCAGGACCGAGCUUGUCUUGCGCCUGGUGCUGCAGGGCGAGUCGAUGGAAGCCAGUGCUGGCUGGCCUUUUGGGUCUCGGCGUUGGGGGUCGCCCAGGGGUGCGUAAGGUCGGACCUUUCUACUCGUCUCUUUGGUUGGGGUAGCAGCAGGUCUCGGGCGAGGCGGUGUCAAGGUCUUGGAUGCCGGGGCGGCGGCCCUAGUGGUGGUAGCGCGGUGCUCAUGGGCAGAGCCCGUGGCUUGGUGCUGCCCGGUGGCGCGGGCCGUGUGGGCGGCGUGGUAGCCGGGGUGUGGCAUUCGGUGAUGAUGAGUGCUGGCCAGGGUGAAAACCUAUUCUAUCUUCGGACGGACCGGCGGCGGCGAGCUUGUUCCCUUCUUGAAGGCGUCAUCACGACUCUCACUGCCCGUCAUGCGGCUCCAGGGGAAACUCUGAUCCUCGGAUCGGGCGGUGGGUCGAGGCGCUCCGGUGCCAUAUCCUUCUUGAAGGUGUCGCCUUGGAGCCCACGGUUCGUCAUAUGCGGCUUCAUCUCUUCGCAGUCGUAGUGCUAGGAGUGGUGUUGUUGCGCUCAGCGCCUAUGUAUCCGGCCUUGGAUGUGUGCGUGUUUUGUGGUGACGUGUGUUUGUACCGGGUUGUUGAUAUCAGUGCUUUAUAUAUAAAGCUGGGCGAAAAGUC